rnacentral:rRNA from 1 species
GACGAACGCUGGCGGCGUGCCUAAUACAUGCAAGUCGAACGAACCGCGACUAGGUGCUUGCACUUGGUCAAGGUGAGUGGCGAACGGGUGAGUAACACGUGGGUAACCUACCUCAUAGUGGGGGAUAACAGUCGGAAACGACUGCUAAUACCGCAUAGGACAUGGGAUCACAUGAUUCUGUGAGGAAAGGUGGCGCAAGCUAUCGCUAAGAGAUGGACCCGCGGUGCAUUAGCUAGUUGGUAGGGUAACGGCCUACCAAGGCGAUGAUGCAUAGCCGACCUGAGAGGGUGAUCGGCCACAUUGGGACUGAGACACGGCCCAAACUCCUACGGGAGGCAGCAGUAGGGAAUCUUCCGCAAUGGACGCAAGUCUGACGGAGCAACGCCACGUGAGUGAAGAAGGUCUUCGGAUCGUAAAGCUCUGUUGUUAGAGAAGAACAGCGCAUAGAGUAACUGUUAUGCGUGUGACGGUAUCUAACCAGAAAGCCACGGCUAACUACGUG